rnacentral:rRNA from 1 species
AUGCAGUUCUCAAAAAAUAUAGAUCACAAUCUAAUUUGUCCUCUCCUUGAUCCCCUUCUUCCAAGGAUUGAAUCUCUUCAGUUCCAAAAUUCAAAUCAGUGCACAAUCAUCAUCUUAAACAAACACAAGAUCCAAUCCCAGCCUCCCCGGAUGCUUUGCUCCUCAAUAUUUAAAUCCCCUCAGUUUCACCAAGCACCAUGA